UCCGGCUUAUCACCGGCAGUUUCUUCAGAGUGCUCAGCAUUACCUGGUAGCAACAGAAGACGAGGGUUGCGCUCGUUGCGGGACUUAACCCAACAUCUCACGACACGAGCUGACGACAGCCAUGCAGCACCUGUGCACUCUCCAGCCGAACUGAAGGACUCUCUUUCAAGAAUCCGCGAGAGGCAUGUCAAAUCCUGGUAAGGUUCUUCGCGUUGCCUCGAAUUAAACCACAUGUUCCACCGCUUGUGCGGGUCCCCGUCAAUUCCUUUGAGUUUUAAUCUUGCGACCGUACUCCCCAGGCGGGGUGCUUAACGCGUUAGCUGCGCCACGGAAAGGUAACCUUCCCACGGCUAGCACCCAUCGUUUACAGCGUGGACUAC
rnacentral:misc_RNA from 1 species